CCUACGGUGGGCAGCAGUGAGGAAUAUUGGUCAAUGGACGAGAGUCUGAACCAGCCAAGUAGCGUGAAGGAUGACUGCCCUAUGGGUUGUAAACUUCUUUUAUAUGGGAAUAAAACAGGGUAUGCAUACCCUCUUGUAUGUACCCUAUGAAUAAGGAUCGGCCAACUCCGCGCCAGCAGCCGCGGUAAUCCGGAGGGUCCGAGCGUGAUUCGGAUUUAGUGGGUGUAAAGGGAGCGUAGGUGGAGUGUGAAUCCAGAUGUGAAAGUUUGGGGCUCAACCUUGAAAUUGCAGUGGAAACGGGCAGGCUUGAGUGCAGUAGUGGUGGGCGGAAUUCGUGGUGUAGCGGUGAAAUGCUUAGAUAUCAGGAAGAACGCCGAUGGCGAAGGAAGCUCGCUGGACUGCAACUGACACUGAUGCUCGAAAGUGUGGGUAUCAAACAGGAUUAGAUACCCGGGUAGUC
rnacentral:rRNA from 1 species